rnacentral:tRNA from 1 species
GGACGAAUGGGUGAGCGGCUGAAACCACCUCCCUGCUAAGGAGACGUACUGGCAACGGUACCGAGAGUUCAAAUCUCUCUUCGUCCGCCA